GAUGAACGCUAGCGGCAGGCUUAACACAUGCAAGUCGAGGGGCAGCAUAAACAUUGCUUGCAAUGUUUGAUGGCGACCGGCGCACGGGUGCGUAACGCGUAUGUAACCUACCUCAAACAGGGGCAUAACACUGAGAAAUUGGUACUAAUUCCCCAUAAUACUUUAAGAGGCAUCUUUUGAAGUUGAAAGUUCCGGCGGUUUGAGAUGGACAUGCGUUGUAUUAGCUAGUUGGUGAGGUAACGGCUCACCAAGGCGACGAUACAUAGGGGGACUGAGAGGUUAACCCCCCACACUGGUACUGAGACACGGACCAGACUCCUACGGGAGGCAGCAGUGAGGAAUAUUGGUCAAUGGACGCAAGUCUGAACCAGCCAUGCCGCGUGCAGACGACGGCCCUAUGGGUUGUAAACUGCUUUUAUGCGGGGAUAAAUGAAUCCUAACGUGUAGGAUUUUGCAGGUACCCG
rnacentral:rRNA from 1 species